UACGCAGGGUGCGAGCGUUAAUCGGAAUUACUGGGCGUAAAGCGUGCGUAGGCGGUUCCUCAAGUCCGUUGUGAAAGCCCCGGGCUCAACCUGGGAAUGGCAGUGGAAACUAGGGGACUGGAAUCUGGCAGAGGGGGGUGGAAUGCCGCGUGUAGCAGUGAAAUGCGUAGAGAUGCGGCGGAACACCGAUGGCGAAGGCAGCCCCCUGGGCUGAGAUUGACGCUCAGGCACGAAAGCGUGGGGAGCAAACAGG
rnacentral:rRNA from 1 species